rnacentral:rRNA from 1 species
GGGCUUGACAUCCCACGAACCUGCCUGAAAGGGCAGGGUGCCCGCAAGGGAGCGUGGAGACAGGUGGUGCAUGGCUGUCGUCAGCUCGUGUCGUGAGAUGUUGGGUUGAGUCCCGCUACGAGCGCAACCCUCACCCCUAGUUGCCACCGGGUAAUGCCGAGCACUCGAGGGGAACUGCCAGCGUCAAGCUGGAGGAAGGCGGGGAUGACGUCAAGUCAUCAUGCCCCUUACGCCCUGGGCUACACACGUGCUACAAUGGCCAGUACAAAGGGAUGCGAGACCGCAAGGUGGAGCUAAUCCCAAAAAGCUGGUCUAAGUUCAGAUUGCAGCCUGCAACUCGACUGCAUGAAGGAGGAAUCGCUAGUAAUCGCGCAUCAGCACGGCGCGGUGAAUACGUUCCCGGGCCUUGUGCACACCGCCCGUCACACCACGAAAGUUGGCUGUACUCGAAGUCGCUGAG